ensembl:lncRNA
UGUCUGCAUGGCUUUUCUCAGUCAGCCAGUCAUCAAUAAAUCUCUCCACAGAUGAGGAGUGAAUAAGGAGGGGAAAAAAACAGAGAAAGGGGAGAGAAGAGUAUGGGAAAAAAAAUCUAGUAGAGGAGAGGAAGACAGCAGACAGGAGAGGUUAGAAAAGAUAGGAGAAGGGAGGGAAGGCGCAUCAAGGAAACGUUUCCAAAGGUAAAAAAAAAAAAAAAAAAAAAAAAAAAAGAGAGAGAGAGAUGAAGAAGAUGGGAGUUCAACAGAAGAACUGAAGAUGUAAGAAGUGGGGAGGCGUGUUCAGAGAGCAGGAGAGCAGAGAGAGAAGGUGAGAGCAAAUUCCGUCACUGAGAGAAGAAGAAAAAGGAAGGUCAAUAAUUUUCGUCUCUAUUAAAGCUGGGUUCUGUGCAGGACAUACAGGUGUUGUUGUUCUUUUUCUUUCAUUCUUUCUUUCUUUCUCUGCAUUGCUUGUGUUCCUUUAGGCAAUUCAAGAACUAGGAACGUCCAGGAACAUUUGCACAACUUUGUCAUGUCUCCUUAAUCUCAGCUGCUUUAAAAUACCCAACCGAUGUCAAGUGGGGGUCACCUCCUCCAGGGCACCCUGCAAUCCAGGAAAAACUCACCUUCAGGAAGGAGCAGAGAGAUUUUCCACGCUCGGCCAAGAAUCCUCUUCUGCCACCCAGCACAUCCAUUGCUGAGCAGGACACCAUCACUCCCAUCAGCGUGUUGCCCUCUGUUCCCACGCCCUCAAGAGCAAAACAGCCACGCACAGCUGACCACAAAGCCUUUGCAGCAACCACCGGCAGACACAGAGCUUGCACACAUCCACCGCCAGGGACGUGCUGGGAGAUGAUGUCUCUGGGCCCAGGGCACGGCAGCAUUGGCUUCAGUGCUUUCAUGCCUCCUGACAGCAAACCUCUGCUGCCAAAGCAUCCUUUGCCCAAGGAAACCGUGCCAUCAAGCACAACGCCUUCUUUCUCCCCCGAGUCUCUCCAGCCGGCAGUGAAAAAGACAGACACAGCUUUCAGGAAGCCAAGAAACACAAACGCACUCCAUCUAGCAAAUAACCCCAGCACUGCUUACCCCUUCCUGAGGAACAGGGCACACAAAAGCCCACCCAGGAGCAGACCUCAAGCAGAGCUCCUUCCCUGCGGGCAGCCAGCCCUUCCGUGAGCUCAGGGCCGGGUGGAACCAGGCUGCACCCCUCGCUCAUGCAAGAGAAUCGCCUCCAGCUGCUCCCCACAGCACAGCAAGGCGGAAGGAAGAUUCAAGCCUGGCAAGGAGAAAAGACAACUCCGCCGCUCUGCAGCUUCACGGCUUCUCCUCGCUGCCUUCUGCUGCUCCCGGCAGCGCCUCGCCGCCAUUCUUUGCUCCUUGGAGCCCCUUCCCGCCGCUGCCGCUGCUUUCCGGGAGUCCGCUGCGCUCCCAGCACAGAGCCGGCCCCUGCAGGUCUCUGAUUGGUCAGCGGCAUUUCCAUCCCGCCCUCUCUGGCCUCUGAUUGGUCAGUGGCAACUCCUUCCCGCCCCCGGUGGCAUCUCCCCGGAUGCGGGCAGCACCGAGACGGAAGCGCGGCAGGACGGGAGCGGUGCUGAGGACAGCGGCGCCGGAGGCAGGAGCCGGGCAGCGGUACUGCAGCUCGUCUGGCAGCUUUGCAGCUCAGUUGGGAAGUAGAAGAUGUGGCUGUGAAAGAAGAAGUCAGUUGCUGGGACGUCCCCCUGUUCUUCCCCUAGCUGUCCCCUUGCCUCAGCCAGGAUUCCCCUUGCAUUCCUGUAGGAUUCCCUUCCAUCCUCCUGGUUGUCCCUUGCUUUCCCCAAGGUUGCUCUUUCCUUUCCCAUGACAGCCCACCCAUCAUUCUCUCAAAGCCCCAAUAUCCACCCCAGUGUUUCCCCAGCAAGACCCCUAGAGACGCCCUGUAGCCCCCCACAGAGCACCAUACACCCUCUAGGACCUCCUCAGACCCGGUACACCUCCCCUGUAGCUGGCCCAUACGCACACGGAGCCCCACAGUCCCCAGCAUCACCCCAUGUAACCCACUGGCCUCCUGCAGGACCCCCGUGUUUCCUCUAUUUCCUCCUUCUGACCUCCUUUCCCACCUCCAAGACCCCAACCCCGGGAUCUCACCGAUUCCCACAGUCCCUGACAGGACCCCUGUCACCAUCCCAGGAACCCCAUAGCCCACCUGAGGGCCCUCCUCAACCCCAUCCCCAUCAAGCUCUUGUACAGCCAUAGGGUGCUGGGGCAGGGGUGGCUGCUGCAGGAGAGGAAUGCGGGGCUGGAGCAGGUGCAGGGCACAGCUGUGGGUGAAAGGGAUGUGAGGGGCACUGUGGGUCCAGGAACGUAGGGGUUGUGGGGGCACGUGGGGAGCGGUUUGGGGUGAGAAUGGAGGAUGUGCGGUGGUGUUGGAGUGCACUGGUUGAUUUCUUCCUGGGAGGGGAUUGGGGUUCCCUUUGGCCCAAAGGUGGAGCCCUGAUCCAUAACCCCACGUGAGCCCAGAACCCCAUAUAACUCUGCAUGAGCCCAAGGCUCCACAUGACCCCUAACCGUGUGAGCACCGUAAGCCCAUAUGAGGCUGAGGGCAGUGGUGGGUCUGUUACUGGCUAGGUCAGGAAGUACUCUAGGGUGGCUCUGGGGCCGCUGUAGAAUAGCACUCUACAUCUGCCCCUGACCCUCAUCUUGGGGGGUAAGAUGGGGGUGCAGGGGUUAGUGGAGGGCUAAGGAAGAGAUUCCAUGAGUAUGAACCAUAGCAGCCCCAGAGCCAUCCUAGAGCAGCGCCAUCACUGCCCACGGCCCAUGGCCAGCAGCAGUUCCACCACAAGCUGUGUGUUGGGUCAAGGCAGCUCCUAGGUGUUGCUCUGCUUCAUAGCUGCCCCAAAGUGCUCCUGUCGCCCUCCCAUAGGUGUCCUUUAACUGCCCCACCACCCUGUAAGGCUUCCCCACGUCCUAGCACAUCCCCCCACGUGCGUGCAGGGUGUGCAAGAAACGCUCUCAUCCCUGAUUUUCCAUCAGGCACAGCUCUUUGUGCAGCAGCAAAGCUCCUUCCUGAUUGCUGUGGCGUUACUUCACUCUCCUCAUCCCUGACAGGACCCCCAUCACCAUCCCAGGACCCCCAUAGCCCACUGAUGAGGAACCUCGCAGCAAUCCACAUCUCAGGAUGGGGCUCCAGCUGUGCCCCAAUGCCUUCAUUAAAGACAGGAGAAUGAAUGAGCGUAACGGGGCACCUUUCCUCCUGACAUUACCAACUGCCUGCGUGUUGGCUGUGCCACGUGAGCGGCAUUUUGUCCUCGAGCUGUGAGUGCAGGUUUCAAAUGGAGUUUGUCCCCAAACCACCACCUGGGAUAUGCCGCAGGUCCUCAGGAGGCAUCCCUGCGGAGGGGAAACCAAAGGAAGAGGAGGCUUUGCCACCUCUCGCCCAGGGCAAGAAAGGUAAAGCAGCAUCCAGCGCCUUUCCAGGGCACAAGCCACCAACUUGAGAUGGGAAAUCCCUUGCUGACCAUCAGCCAAGGGCUCUGACUUGCGACAAAGCUUCCUGCCAGCUCAGCACAGCCUAUUCCCACGAGGAAUUGUUGGCCUCUCCAAAACCAAGGUGCUGGCUGUGACGUGCCCCCAUCCCUGGCUAUGGCAGGAGGACCUCGGCACCUCAGGCCCCGCCCUCCCCCAACAGAAGGAUAUGGUCCCCAAAAGUCACCCUGUCAGCUCAUCGUCACCACCCAGCUCCGCUUUCCCAAAGCCAGCGUCACUAAUGCACUCCCAAAAGAGAGUCCCAAGAUGGCAGAGAGGAGGAGUGGGGCCAGAGAUGGUUUCAGGGAGGGUCCGCGGGUGGCACAGAUGUCAGCAGUGGGGGGAGCAGAGCGGCCCUCACGCAUGUUCUGGGAACAGGCCUGAGCGCCCCUUGUAAGUGAGCCAAAGGGUUGAUGGUGAGUCUCCUCUGCCUUCCCAAUCCCAGUGAGAUUUGCUGGCAAGCCAACUUUCAUCAAACGCUUGAGCUCGGACAGUCUAGAUGGAGGAAAACUCCGAAGGAUAAGGAGCUUACUGCGCAAGGAGAGCUCUACGUCCAGGUGAGGCUGGAGGCUCUGGCUUGGCAUGUGCAUGGGGGUGAUUGACUGAGCCAACGAGAGCCCAUUCCCUAGCCCCAAAGGGUCCCUGUUUCUGGAUCCCACGGGGGAGAGCCACGGGGCAGCCGGUGAGCUGUCUGUGGGGAAGGCUGCGUUGCAGCCAAGGGUCCUGGCUCCGGCUUGCAGGAUGCGGCCCCAAAGCCAUCAUCCACUCAGGCGGACCCCUCCUGCUCUGUCCUUUCAGUCUGCUGCCAGCCAUCCCUGGAGUGCCUGAAGAACAAAAGCAGCCGCUGACCUGCCAGCUGCAGGGCCAGGCAGAAACAGACAGCCAAGAAGACCUGGGCCGAGCCCCAGGAACCAAACACGUGAGCUUCCGUGAGGAAGAACAGGAAGCGGAAAAAGCCCAUCGUGUGGCUGCAGUGCUGAAGUUGCCCAAAGCCAAUGAAUCUUUCAGCAAAGAUUCCAGACCUUCCUCAAGGGCUCAGUCCAGCCCGUCACAGGCAUCGCAAGGCACUCCAUCCCGGCUUCCACUUCUGGCAUGUGACUCAGUCAGACUUCUCAGGCGCAGGGCUAAGAAGAGCAGGCAGAAAGAACCUGAGGAGAUGGAAGCAUCAACAUCUCAGGCUGAGGCCAGCCAGCCGCAGGAGUCCUCUGCUGACAGAGCUGGAUUUCUGCCACCGAUAAACGAAGAAACACAGUCUCCUCAGCGUCAGCCCCCGGACACCAAAGCCCCACCGCGCAGGAAGGGCACACCCUACCCACGCUGAUGCAGGCAUGGGGCGCCCACGAGCUCCAAGACCUCCACUCGAGCUGGCUGCAAAACAGAUGCGUGAAUCCCAUCUGCAUCAUAUCUAAUCCUAGACUAGGCUGCCGAGUGCCCAAUCCAACCUGGCCUUCAACACUGCCACGGACGCGGCGUCCACAAGCUCUCUGGGCAUCCGCUUCCAGCAUCUCACCACCGUCUCUGGAAAGACCUUCUCCCUGACAUCCAAUCUUCAUUGUCCCUCCCUCUGUCAAUAAAGCCUUACCGUGGGCCUAUCCCAUACAAAUCUCCACAAUGCCUGUGGCAGUGUCAUUGCGUCUUUGGACGCCAGCUCUGGUGCUGGUGGAGGGAGAAAGAAUUGUGAGAGGGCAUCAGAACAUGUCACGAUGCUUUCCUUGAUGCCAAAGGAAAUCCAGCGUCUCGCUUGGCUCGGCUGUCUGAGCUUUUCUGCUGAAGGGGAAGACCAAAAAUGAAGUCAGCUUCAAAUUGGUGUGGCAGCUCAGAGCUCUCAGAGGAUACCAGGGAUCCUUGGGAGGCCCUUUCCAAGUGGAAUACUGCGUCCUAUAAAGAAUCACAGAAUCAUUGAAUCGUAGAAAUGCGUAGAAUCGUAGAAUAACCACAGUGACCAUCAAGUUUCACCUCCCACCCCCCUCCCCGCUAUGUGCAGUAUUGCCAGCCACUAGACCAAAAUGCCCCGUGCCAACUCCAGCCUGGCCUUGAAUGCCUCCAGGGAUGCAGCAUCCACAGCCUCCUUGGGCCAUUCCCCCUCCUGCUUAGAUGCUCCCUUUAAGUACUGGAAGGCCACCAGGAGGUCUCCAUGGAGCCUUCUCUUCGCCAAGCUAAACGAU